rnacentral:rRNA from 1 species
GGUGCCACCAUCAGGUGGCCGCAGAGAAUAGGCCCAAGCGACUGUUUACCAAAAACAUAGGUUUCUGCUAAGUCGCAAGAUGAUGUAUAGGAGCUGACGCCUGCCCGGUGCUGGAAGGUUAAGGGGAGCUGUUAGAGCAAUCGAAGCAGUGAACUUAAGCCCCAGUAAACGGCGGCCGUAACUAUAACGGUCCUAAGGUAGCGAAAUU